AGAGCGAACGCUGGCGGCAGGCCUAACACAUGCAAGUCGAACGGACCCUUCGGGGUUAGUGGCGGACGGGUGAGUAACACGUGGGAACGUGCCUUUUGGUUCGGAAUAGCUCCUGGAAACGGGUGGUAAUGCCGAAUGUGCCCUUCGGGGGAAAGAUUUAUCGCCAUUAGAGCGGCCCGCGUCUGAUUAGCUAGUUGGUGAGGUAAUGGCUCACCAAGGCGACGAUCAGUAGCUGGUCUGAGAGGAUGACCAGCCACAUUGGGACUGAGACACGGCCCAAACUCCUACGGGAGCAGCAGGUGGGAAUCGUUGCGCAAGUGGGACAAAGCCUAGACGCAGCCAUCGCGCGUGAAUGAUGAAGGUCUAGGAUUAGUAAAUUCGUUUACGACCGGGUA
rnacentral:rRNA from 1 species